CCAUCGGUGGUUCAGUGGUAGAAUGCUCGCCUGCACGCGGGCGGCCCUGGUUCGAUUCCCGGCCGAUGCU
rnacentral:tRNA from 1 species